GAGUUCAUUCGAAUAUAUCCAACAAAUUGAAACGAUAUAGAAAAAAUUAACAUGUCUCAUGCACAAGAUGACAUGCAUAAAUAGAUAAAUAUACUAUUAUUCG